rnacentral:sRNA from 1 species
AGAAAAGUAGGUGCCUGCCCCGCACAGGGGCGACGCUAAUAGACCAAUAACAAAUCAAGGAAAGGCCAGCGCCGUAGGCAUACAACCAAAAAGCGCCCGCAGGCAAAC